GCUGGCGGUGUGCUUAAUACAUGCAAGUCGAACGAUAAGGUCACUUCGGUGAUACAUAAGUGGCGGACGGGUGAGUAACACGUAGGUAAUCUGCCUUAAGGCGGGGGAUAACACCGGGAAACUGGUGCUAAUACCCCAUAUGUAACAGUCUGCAAGGUCUGUUAUGAAAGCUCCGGCGCCUUGAGAUGAGCCUGCGGCUGAUUAGCUUGUUGAUGGGGUAAUGGCCUACCAAGGCGACGAUCAGUAGCUGGUCUGAGAGGAUGAUCAGCCACAAUGGAACUGAGACACGGUCCAUACUCCUACGGGAGGCAGCAGUAGGGAAUUUUGCGCAAUGGGCGAAAGCCUGACGCAGCAACACCGCGUGUGGGAUGAAGCUUUUCGGAGUGUAAACCACUGUCAGAGGGGACGAAAUCUGACGGUACCCUCAAAGGAAGCAUCGGCUAACUACGUGCCAGCAGCCGCGGUAAGACGUAGGAUGCAAGCGUUGUCCGGAAUCAUUGGGCGUAAAGCGUCCGUAGGCGGCCUGCCAAAGUCUGAUGUUCAAGCCCGGGGCUCAACUCCGGUCCAGCAUUGGAUACCUGGCAAGCUAGAGUACAGUAGAGGUAAGGGGAAUCCCUAGUGUAAGCGGUGAAAUGCGUAGAUCUCAGGAGGAACACCGGGUGGCCGAAAGCGCCUUGCUGGACCUGUAACUGACGCUGAGGGGACGAAACCCAAGGGGAGCAAA
rnacentral:rRNA from 1 species